rnacentral:rRNA from 1 species
UACGAAGGGGGCUAGCGUUGCUCGGAAUCACUGGGCGUAAAGGGUCCGUAGGCGGUGCGGUAAGUCGGGAGUGAAAUCUCUGGGCUUAACUCAGAGGCUGCUUCCGAAACUACCGUGCUAGAGUGCGAGAGAGGCAAGUGGAAUUGCGGGUGUAGCGGUGAAAUGCGUAGAUAUCCGCAGGAACAUCCGAGGCGAAAGCGGCUUGCUGGAUCGCAACUGACGCUGAGGGACGAAAGCUAGGGGAGCAAACAGG